rnacentral:rRNA from 1 species
CGCAUCUGUGCAUGCAGCAUAUCAAUAAGCGGAGGAAAAGAAACUAACAAGGAUUCCCCUAGUAACGGCGAGUGAAGCGGGAAGAGCUCAAAUUUGAAAUCUUAAAGGGUUUCCCUUUACGAAUUGUAGUUUAAAGAAGUGUUUUCUGUUGAGGUUUUGGUAAAAGUUCUUUGGAAUAGGACAUCAUAGAGGGUGAGAAUCCCGUAUUUGACCUUUACUUUCAACUUUGUGAUACACUUUCAAAGAGUCGGAUUGUUUGGGAAUGCAGUCCAAAAUGGGUGGUAAAUUUCAUCUAAAGCUAAAUAUUGGCGAGAGACCGAUAGCGAACAAGUACCGUGAGGGAAAGAUGAAAAGAACUUUGAAAAGAGAGUUAAACAGUACGUGAAAUUGUCAAAAGGGAAGCGUUUGACACCAGUGUUGUUUUUCUGAAAAUCAAUUAAAGAACUGUUUAUGCUAAGCUGUUUAGACUUUAUCAGCUAUCUGUUUAGUUUUGGGCUUUUCUUUAAUGCACUUUUCAGUUAACAAGUCAACAUCAAUUUCUUUUGCUGUAAAAAAGCUUGAGGAAGGUGGCUUGAGAUUCGUCUUAAGUGUUUAUAGCCUCUUGCCUAUGCAGUCGGAGAGAUUGAGGUCUGCAGCGUAGAUCCUUCGGGGCUAAAUGCAUUUGUGCUAAGUUAUAGCAUUUUAUAGACAACUUGUUGACUAUGAUUCGUCUUGUAGCUUACUCGCUUAUGUUAUUUUACCUACGCUUAGGAUGUUGAGUCGUAGAGCACGCAG